AUAGUUACUUGGCAGGGAAGGUGCUGUGGUCACAAACUUGGUUUUCCUUGGCAAGGCUGACUCACUAAACUCUGGAUGUGCUGACCCCUGCAGUUUCGUCAAAUGUGUGAAACUUGACUAUAUGAUUUGUGGUAAUGGGAAACUGUGUUCACAUUCUUCCCUG